AGAGAGUGCAAGCGUUAAUCAGAAUUACUGGGCGUAAAGCGCGCGUAGGUGGAUAUUUAAGUCGGAUGUGAAAUCCCCGGGCUCAACCUGGGAAUUGCACUCGAUACUGGGUAUCUAGAGUAUGGUAGAGGGAAGUGGAAUUUCCGGUGUAGCGGUGAAAUGCGUAGAUAUCGGAAAGAACACCAGUGGCGAAGGCGGCUUCCUGGACCAAUACUGACACUGAGGUGCGAAAGCGUGGGGAGCAAACAGGAUUAGAGACCCUGGUAGUCCACGCUGUCAACGAUGAGAACUAGCUGUUGGGAGGUUUACCCUCUUAGUAGCGAAGCUAACGCGUUAAGUUCUCCGCCUGGGGAUACGACCGCAAGGUUA
rnacentral:rRNA from 1 species